rnacentral:rRNA from 1 species
CCUACGGGAGGCAGCAGUGGGGAAUAUUGGGCAAUGGGCGCAAGCCUGACCCAGCAACGCCGCGUGAAGGAAGAAGGCUUUCGGGUUGUAAACCUCUUUUGACAGGGAAGAGUAGAAGACUGUAUCUGUCGAAUAAGCCACGGCUAACUACGUGCCAGCAGCCGCGGUAAUACGUAGGUGGCAAGCGUUCUCCGGAUUUACUGGGUGUAAAGGGCGUGUAGGCGGGAAAGGAAGUCAGAUGUGAAAACCAUGGGCUCAACCUGUGGACUGCAUUUGAAACUGUUUUUCUUGAGUACAGGAGAGGCAGACGGAAUUCCUAGUGUAGCGGUGAAAUGCGUAGAUAUUAGGAGGAACACCAGUGGCGAAGGCGGUCUACUGGACAGCAACUGACGCUGAGGCGCGAAAGCGUGGGGAGCAAACAGGAUUAGAUACCCGUGUAGUC